rnacentral:rRNA from 1 species
GUACGGGAGGCAGCAGUGAGGAAUAUUGGACAAUGGGGGAAACCCUGAUCCAGCGACGCCGCGUGGGUGAAGAAGGCCUGCGGGUUGUAAAGCCCUUUCGGUAGGGACGAAAGCUCUUGCCUUAACACGGAAGGAGGUUGACUUAACCUACAUAAGAAGCACCGGCUAACUCUGUGCCAGCAGCCGCGGUAAUACAGAGGGUGCGAGCGUUAAUCGGAAUUACUGGGCGUAAAGCGCACGUAGUCGGCUUUGCAAGCCGGUUGUGAAAUCCCCGGGCUCAACCUGGGAACUGCAUCCGGGACUGCAUUGCUAGAGUAUGGGAGAGGGAAGCGGAAUUUCUGGUGUAGCAGUGAAAUGCGUAGAUAUCAGAAGGAACAUCAGUGGCGAAGGCGGCUUCCUGGACCAAUACUGACGAUCAGGUGCGAAAGCGUGGGGAGCAAACAGGAUUAGAUACCCCGGUAC